rnacentral:rRNA from 1 species
AUUGAACGCUGGCGGCAGGCUUAACACAUGCAAGUCGAGCGGGGUGAUGGUGCUUGCACUAUCACUUAGCGGCGGACGGGUGAGUAAUGCUUAGGAAUCUGCCUAUUAGUGGGGGACAACAUCUCGAAAGGGAUGCUAAUACCGCAUACGUCCUACGGGAGAAAGCAGGGGAUCACUUGUGACCUUGCGCUAAUAGAUGAGCCUAAGUCGGAUUAGCUAGUUGGUGGGGUAAAGGCCUACCAAGGCGACGAUCUGUAGCGGGUCUGAGAGGAUGAUCCGCCGCACUGGGAAUGAGACACGGCCCAGACUCCUACGGGAGGCAGCAGUGGGGAAUAUUGGACAAUGGGGGGAACCCUGAUCCAGCCAUGCCGCGUGUGUGAAGAAGGCCUUAUGGUUGUAAAGCACUUUAAGCGAGGAGGAGGCUCUUUUGGUUAAUACCCUGGGGUCAUGACGGUACCGUAAGAAUAAGCACCGGCUAACUACGUGCCAGCCGCCGCGGUAA